AUUGAACGCUGGCGGCAGGCUUAACACAUGCAAGUCGAGCGGGGGAAAGUAGCUUGCUACUGGACCUAGCGGCGGACGGGUGAGUAAUGCUUAGGAAUCUGCCUAUUAGUGGGGGACAACAUUCCGAAAGGAAUGCUAAUACCGCAUACGUCCUACGGGAGAAAGCAGGGGACCUUCGGGCCUUGCGCUAAUAGAUGAGCCUAAGUCGGAUUAGCUAGUUGGUGGGGUAAAGGCCUACCAAGGCGACGAUCUGUAGCGGGUCUGAGAGGAUGAUCCGCCACACUGGGACUGAGACACGGCCCAG
rnacentral:rRNA from 1 species